GCUGAGAGGUGGGAGUGCUCGAAAGAGAACCGGCGCACAGGUGCUGCAUGGCUGUCGUCAGCUCGUGUCGUGAGAUGUUGGGUUAAGUCCCGCAACGAGCGCAACCCUUGUCCUUAGUUGCUACGCAAGAGCACUCUAAGGAGACUGCCGGUGACAAACCGGAGGAAGGUGGGGAUGACGUCAAGUCCUCAUGGCCCUUAUGGGUAGGGCUUCACACGUCAUACAAUGGUCGGAACAGAGGGUUGCCAACCCGCGAGGGGGAGCUAAUCCCAGAAAACCGAUCGUAGUCCGGAUUGCACUCUGCAACUCGAGUGCAUGAAGCUGGAAUCGCUAGUAAUCGCGGAU
rnacentral:rRNA from 1 species